AGGACGAACGCUGGCGGCGUGCUUAACACAUGCAAGUCGAGCGGUAAGGCCCUUCGGGGUACACGAGCGGCGAACGGGUGAGUAACACGUGGGUAACCUGCCCUGUACUGUGGGAUAAGCCUGGGAAACUGGGUCUAAUACCGCAUAUGACUGCAUUCCGCAUGCGGUGUGGUGGAAAGUUCUGGCGGUACAGGAUGGGCCCGCGGCCUAUCAGCUUGUUGGUGGGGUGAUGGCCUACCAAGGCGACGACGGGUAGCCGGCCUGAGAGGGCGACCGGCCACACUGGGACUGAGACACGGCCCAGACUCCUACGGGAGGCAGCAGUGGGGAAUCUUGCGCAAUGGGCGGAAGCCUGACGCAGCGACGCCGCGUGCGGGAUGAAGGCCUUCGGGUUGUAAAGCCCUUUCGACGGGGACGAUGAUGACGGUACCCGUAGAAGAGCCCCGGCUAACUUCGCGCCAGCAGCCGC
rnacentral:rRNA from 1 species